rnacentral:rRNA from 1 species
UACGUAGGGUGCAAGCGUUGUCCGGAAUUAUUGGGCGUAAAGAGCUCGUAGGCGGUCUGUCGCGUCGGCUGUGAAAACCCGGGGCUCAACCCCGGGCCUGCAGUCGAUACGGGCAGACUAGAGUGCGGUAGGGGAGACUGGAAUUCCUGGUGUAGCGGUGAAAUGCGCAGAUAUCAGGGGGAACACCGGUGGCGAAGGCGGGUCUCUGGGCCGUAACUGACGCUGAGGAGCGAAAGCGUGGGGAGCGAACAGG